UAUCCGAUCCCAUCAGAUGAUGAGCAGUCCAAAACGAACCGAUUUCAACCUUCGCCGUCGGAGCUCCGAUUCCAGGGAAGGAAUCACCGCCGUUAAGGCUCUCGAACAUGGAUUCUUAUAGUUUCUCACCGCCGGUAGUAGGAAACGAGGCUCCAUACAAUGCAACAGUGGAUUGGCAAUGAUAUCUUCAACAUAAUUCUUAGAUCUCUGAAAGCGAGAUCGCCAGAGGGAUAAACCGAAAGCCAAUCUCGGGUCGGGUCGAGUCGGGUCCUCCCUCAUUCACAACGUUUCGUCUGCUUCUUCGGUUCUUGUCAGGUGUUGAUGUGAGCUUGUUUAACUGACUCUGAAGGGGAAGAACACUGUGACUCUCCAUCAUCUAACCUUUGUUGGUUACUAUACUAUCUUUAAGGUCAGUGACUAAUUUUGGAUAAAAGAAAACGAAUCCUAGCUAGUGAGUGUUACCAAAGUUGUGCUUUUUGGACAGUUUAUGAAAUGAAGGAAACAUGUUGUUGGCCAAAUGCUAUGAUGGUGGUUCUUAUACAAAAUAUUUACUAGGCAAUGCAUAAAGAUUAAAGAGUAUCAUGUUGUGAUAGCAGGAUUGCACGGGUAAGGAAAAGCAGAAGGCACACCGUAUCCCUGGGGAUAGGAGGAAGGCACACCGUAUCCCUGAGGCCAUGGAUA